AUUGAACGCUGGCGGCAGGCCUAACACAUGCAAGUCGAACGAGUGGCGGACGGGUGAGUAAUGUCUGGGAAACUGCCUGAUGGAGGGGGAUAACUACUGGAAACGGUAGCUAAUACCGCAUACCAUCAGAUGUGCCCAGAUGGGAUUAGCUAGUUGGUGGGGUAACGGCUCACCAAGGCGACGAUCCGUAACUGGUCUGAGAGGAUGAUCAGUCAACCUGGAACUGAGACACGGUCCAGAAUCCUACGGGAAGGAGCAGUGGGGAAUAUUGGACAAUGGGGGAAAGCCUUAUCCCGCCAUGCCGCGUGUGUGAAGAAGGUCUUCGGAUUGUAAAGCACUUUAAGUUGGGAGGCGUUACCAACAGAAUAAGCACCGGCUAACUUCGUGCCAGCCGCCGCGGUAAUAC
rnacentral:rRNA from 1 species